UCAUCUCAAGUCGGGCAGGUCCCCAACCCCCCACCGCACAAACCCUAGCCUCCCAAGCCCGCAGCGCCGCCCUGCUCACUCCUCCUCCAUCUUUCCUCGCCGGCCGCCGCCGCCGCCAUUCCGCUUCGCUCCUCUCUGUCCGAUGGCCACGCCAGUGGGAGGAAGCCGCCGCACAAGAGGACAGGAGACGCCCAUUGGCGAGCUUCUGGGCAGGAAGCCGAUGGGGAGCACGCCAUCAACGAGCCCCCGGGGAGGAGCUAUCGGCCGGUCCUAGGUCGUCCACCAAAGGCCGCCGGUUGCGCUGUCGUGAUAGGAGCAGCAGGGGAGGAGAUGAAGAUAUACUGCCGGCGCCGGACUCCCUCUUCCCUAGCUGCAUCUUCCCCGACAAUUUAUUCCAGUGCCCGAUUCAUUGUCCGUCUCAACCAAACCUCACAUGGUGGUGCGAAUUUAUGCUAGACAUUUUGUUUCUUCAUUUGGUUUGCUACAGGAAUAAAUGUUCCAGGGUUGGAGAAGAGGGGGUUGAGCAGCAGCUGAGCUUAGGCAUGGAUUGACAGAUUCAAAAUUUUCUUAUACACUUGCUCGACGCACACCAGCUAGGCAGGCCAGGGGAUGAAGGUACGAUACAGUGAGUGCAACAGCGGCAGUGGGGAAACCCCUCCUGGCCGAGCCUCAUCCCUAGCCUCUACCUGCAGAGGAGAACCCCAGGAAAGCUAAAAGUUUGUGGAGGAGCGCCGACACAGUUUUUAGAGGGUAUUUCGGACUCAAGAUUGAUCUGGUAGUGCACGUGGUGUGGUGUGCCAUAAGCAAGAAUAUCUUAUCUGCGCCAUGACAAUAAGGGCUUGCUGCAGCUAGGCAGUUCUUGGGAGUAUGGUGCUUCGAUUUGGUUCCUGUGGUGAAUUUGUAGUGACACUGUUACCUUCAGAAUUUGAGAUGAAACAUUUCCAGAGCGUAUAUGGAGAGCCUAGAAGCAGCAGGGGUCCGCGGAGCAGCGGAUGCGGUCGAUGGAGUAGCAGGGGCAAGGAGGUCGAGAUGGUUCAGGAAGAGUGCCUACAGAGAUUACAGAACUGGAUAGAGGUGCCUUAUGAUAGUAUAGCUAAAGAACAACAGUUUGUCUCUUCAGAAGUUUGGGUGCCUCUGUUUUGCUACUUUUUAGUUCUCAUCAUUAAGGUUUGUAUCUUUCCUCCCCUCUCAGAUUGUUGCAUCCUUAUUGUGUCUCAUCGUUAAGGUGGCACAUACAAGUAUUAAUUUGUUGAGUUCUGUUAAAGUACCACUGAAAAUUCAAAUUCUAUAUACUUUACUUUUGGCUAUACAUGAGAAUACAGUACACACAUUUGAUUAGUGAUUAAAUGUGAAGAUCAUUGUGCAUGUUUUUCUGAAUGUGGAUUAAUUAAAUUUUAUUGCUUUAUGGUGAGAUGAAUAUGUUGAUUAUAAUGAUAUAAUGUUAAGAGAUUUUCAAGUGUAAGCUUGUAGCAAAUGAUCUUCUAAUCCAGACUCCAUAUCAUUAUUUAUAUUGUAACACAAAUGUGUUCUAUUAUACUCCCAGCCUUGGUACAUGAAGGCAUGAUAUUACCCCUCUCCCCGUGCCCCUUCUAUGUAUUUUUGAUUUGUUUGUGUGACUAUCGAAUGGUGCUUGCAGGUCCAUGGACAUUGCUAGAAUUUUCACUUUAUUGCAGUGUCGUAUUUCCAGAUCUCAUGUUCCUCAAGGCUUGCUCUCACUGCUGCUCUAGACAGGGAACAUUGAUGACAACAUACAGGGCCUCUCAGUCUUUAACCCUGACUAUAAAAAUCCAUUGAUGGAAGCCGCGGAGGGCCGAGAUGAACAUCCGGCUCCUGGGUCUAAGCCAUCGAGAUGAUAGAGACGACGUUUCCAUGUCAUCUACUCCACCAGCCGGACAAGGCAUAUAAAAACCAUGGAUCCUUGCUCCCCAGGCUGCAAAAUGAUCGCAGUGAUGUGUACGACCUCCUCCUAGAUGUAUUAAUCUCAAUCUCAUGUUUGGUUUUCUUCCCUUUUCUCUUCUAAUGAUGUAAUUUCUUUUACUAAGAUAACACCAUGUUUGUUGUAAUGCCUUAUUUGAAGUAAGAUCCCUUUUC